ACAAUUUGGCAGCACACAUCCUAACAUUGGAAUGACAGAGAAGAUUAGCAUGGGCCCUGCACAAAGAUGACACACAAAUUUGUGAUGAGUUCCAUAUUGUU
ensembl:snRNA U6 U6 spliceosomal RNA